AACGCGAAGAACCUUACCCAGGCUCGAAAUGUAGUGGGCGAGUACAGAGAUGUACUUUUCCGCAAGGACCAUUAUAUAGGUGCUGCAUGGCUGUCGUCAGCUCGUGCCGUGAGGUGUUGGGUUAAGUCCCGCAACGAGCGCAACCCUUAUCAUUAGUUGCCAACACGCGAGGUGGGGACUCUAGUGAGACUGCCUAGGUUAACUAGGAGGAAGGUGAGGAUGACGUCAAGUCCGCAUGGCCUUUAUGUCUGGGGCUACACACGUGCUACAAUGGCCGGUACAGAAGGCAGCAAAGCCGCAAGGUAGAGCAAAUCCGUAAAAGCCGGUCUCAGUUCAGAUUGUAGUCUGCAACUCGACUACAUGAAGUUGGAAUUGCUAGUAAUGACGUGUCAGCAACAACGUCGUGAAUACGUUCCCGGGCCUUGUACACACCGCAUAC
rnacentral:rRNA from 1 species